rnacentral:lncRNA from 1 species
GUGAAAGCUCGCACUUUUACGGCGAAUUUUUUGUGGGCUUGUUGGAUUCUGAAAGAAGGGGCAAAAGGGUGUCUGAAGAUAGUGUUGAAUUGCAAUUUGGUUAAGUGGGGGUGUCAUUAUGGAGUGGGAAGACGAGUGCAGAACGCCGAGGUUGGUGCAGAAUCAGAUUCCAGCGGUUUUCAUCUGCCCGCCGCCGCCGCCGCGGAAGAAGCCGGUGGCCGGAAAGCGACGACCGCCGCCGAAGGAGGGGUACUUCCAGCCACCGGAUCUUGAUUCCUUGUUUUCAGUUCCAGCAAGAAAAGAAGCAUGCGUCUAACAAAGUAGCAACUUUUUAAAUUUUUGGGGGGAGUGUCUGAAUUUGGUUUUUGUUAUUUUUAAAAGGGAGUAUUUAAUUAACUAUUUUAUUAGUUUAUUGAUAUAAAGAAUAAUUAUAUCUAGUGUUGUUUUGUGGGCAUUCCUAUUUUGGUAUGUCGUAGAGGUGUUAGCUGAUGAUCUCUAUGAAAGAAAAUUGUUAUAUAGAAUGAUGAUUAUAUUUAUAUGCUUUGAGACUUGGAGUUGAUUUGUGCUCUUCUAGAAUUUGUAUGAUGUAUGCGUCCCUUUCUGUUCCUACGUUUUGAUUUUUGAAAUUUGCUUCGUGGGUUUUUUGGCUCCUAUCGGCUGGCUAGUCCUAACAAAAGCAUAGCUUCAUUGUCUGACAUUUGUUGUUAUUUACGAUUUGGUCUUCUAAAUUCUCCUUUUGCAUGUCGCCUGUUGUUGAAACUUCUAUUUUUCAUGUGCUCCCGCUGUAAGCUGUUGUAGCAUUUCAGAAUUUUUACUUUUUUCCCCCAUUAUUGACCUCAUCUAAAAUAAAUGAAAUAUACUAUACUAUUAUUAAAAUGCAACUUUUUCAGUAAUGGUACUUCCACAAGCAACGAUACUCACACAGUCACACCUCAUUGCUCUUAGACUGCAUUUCACUUUC